rnacentral:rRNA from 1 species
CAGUAGCCACGGUAAUACGUAAGUGGCAAGCGUUGUCCGGAAUUAUUGGGCGUAAAGGGCUCGCAGGCGGUUUCUUAAGUCUGAUGUGAAAGCCCCCGGCUCAACCGGGGAGGGUCAUUGGAAACUGGGAAACUUGAGUGCAGAAGAGGAGAGUGGAAUCCCACGUGUAGCGGUGAAAUGCGUAGAGAUGUGGAGGAACACCAGUGGCGAAGGCGACUCUCUGGUCUGUAACUGACGCUGAGGAGCGAAAGCGUGGGGAGCGAACAGGAUUAGAUACCCCUGUAGUCCCUGUCUCUUAUAC